AUUUAUAUAGUUUAAAUAAAACUUUUAAUUUUCAAUUAAAUAAUAGUAAUACACUACUUAUAAAUU
rnacentral:tRNA from 1 species